CCUACGGGUGGCAGCAGUGGGGAAUAUUGGACAAUGGGGGAAACCCUGAUCCAGCGACGCCGCGUGAGUGAAGAAGUAUCUCGGUACGUAAAGCUCCAUCAGCAGGAAAGAAAAUGACGGUACUUGACCAAGAAGCCCCGGCUAACUACGUGCCAGCAGCCGCGGGAAUACGUAGGGGGCAAGCGUUAUCCGGAUUUAGGGGGUGUAAGGGGAGCGUAGACGGCAGCGCAUGUCUGGAGUGAAAUGCCGGGGCCCAACCCCGGAACGGCACUGGAAACUGUGAAGCUGGAGUGCAGGAGAGGUAAGCGGAAUGUCGGGUGUAGCGGUGAAAUGCGUAGAUAUGAGGAGGAAAACCGGCGGCGAAGGCGGCUUACUGAACUGUAACGGACGUUGAGGCUCGAAGGCGUGGGGAGCAAACAGGAUUAGAUACCCGGGUAGUC
rnacentral:rRNA from 1 species